AGAAGAUAUUGCUAUGUUAUAAUUAAAACAGCAAAGGUUCCACUCGAAUACAGAAUGAAACUCCUAGUAUUGUGCUUAAAUUUGGCAAUUUUAUGUAUAGUUUGUGAAUCGGAUGAACUUAAGCCAGAGUCUUCAGGCACCGAUCUUAUAAGCGAAAAUAGAUUCGAUGUUGAACCCAAAUCGAUUUCUAGACAAAAUGAUCCAGGCUUGAUAGGAAAGAAUCACAUUUCAUCAAUACCAGAAAUCAUGAAAGAAACAAAUCUAUAGCCAAAGCAAAGGCUUUGUUGAUUAAGAAAGUCAAAAUCCACAAGCAUAGAAAAGGUGGUAGAAAAUCAUCAAAUCAACUAAAACAGAAUGGUGAAACAAAGGCGAAUAUAGUAGAAGAAAUGUGUUGCUGUCAAAGAACUGUAGGAAAACCAGCAAGCUCUAAAAGGCCAACAAAAAAGAACCACAAACGAAUCUACAAUUUCAAGAGCGCCGUAAGACACCAAAAACGAGACGUCAAUACAUGUUGGUGCCGCCAAAUAGAUGACAAUGAUGGUGGUGUAAUAGACAAACCAAAUACAGAUUCGACAACCACAACCAGUUCAAGUUCGACUACAAAUACACCAACUACCACAGCAGUUCCUGAUUUUGGUACAAAACCUAUAACACCUUCGGAUGCACCAACUACACC